AUAAAGGGUAGCUUAGCUGGUUAGAUUUACUGAAGGUAAUUCAAUCGCUGAACGUUGAUAAUAGCUUUCGAGAAGAGAUCCUUACUCUCCAGCUAGUUAAAACUUCCCCGAUUAGUAAUGCUCUCACCCUGGGGACAUAUCUCACCUUUGUCAGCAAAACAGUAGAACCAUCUUCAUUUCUCAGUCUCACACUUCCUAUUCCCUUUACUGUUGACAUGGUGUCAUUUGCCAUCUUUACUUGUUUCACUACCAGCAUCUGAUAAACUUACAAACCAUUCUCUUCUUCCGAAAGAACAACCUGUGUCAAGUAUCCAGACUUCCCUUUGUUAGGAAUCCCUAAUUGAAAGUGAGAAGGGACCUACACUAGUAUAUAAAGGACAUGGGCCUCUCCACUCAUUGCCAAUUGGUUUUUAGUUGGAAGCCCAUGAACACUCACAUGGUAUCAAGAGCCAUGGAGGGUUCUCUUAAGUCUUAUCCUUUUCCUUCCAAUAUCAAUAUUACUAGUUGUGUCUCCAUUAAACUCAACGAUCGGAACUAUCUUUUAUACGACGAAGGAAGGGUGCGAUUGAGUCUGCUGAACUUGGGCGAGAGAUGUGACUUCGUUCCUUUCCUUUCAGUCGAGUUAUUUAAACCUCUCCAGAGCUCUGGUGUCUACGAGAAGCUUCAUGAGUCAAACAAUUGAGGAAGCCGAUACUUAUACUUUGGUAGAGAAUCUCGCAUAAAGCAAUGGGAGUCAUGGCUCGGAUUAUGAUCGGACUACAAGGAAAAACAAUGAUGAAUCUCAUCAUGCCAUCCAAGAGCUGAAUGCAAAAAUGGAUAAGAUAUUGAAGCGUGACCAAAAGAAAAGAUGACGGUAAACUCUUGUGAAGAGUAUGGUGGAUAUCAAGGGUACCAAGACUUUGGUGUUGAAGGGUAUGAGGAGCCACAAGAAGAGUUGAACUAUGUUGGAGGUCAAGGAUUCCAACCAAGGCCUUUCAACGAAGGGUUCCAAGCUAGAGGGGCUACUGCUCCAACAAAGACCACCUUACCAAGCGCCCUACCAAGCACCUUACCAAGCCCCUUACCAAGCUCAAGGGAGUUCUUUUUCUGCUCCAACUGCACCAGAUAGUGAGGUGAAGCUAAUGUUGCAACAAUUCCUUGAAGGACAAAAGAAAAGUACCAUUGAGAUGAACACAAAGAUGGACAACAUGUACAAUGAUCUUAAUGGGAAGUUUUAAACUUUGGCCUCUCAUGUCAAAUCUCUUGACAACCAAGUUGCUUAAACCGCCUCUUCAUCAAAGAGACCCAUGGGAACACUACCCGGUAAACCGGAAGCAAACCCAAGGGAACAUUUUACAUAAUGCUUAGAAGUGGAAAAGAGCUUGAGGAAGUUGUGAGAGAUGAUAAGGAAGAGGAGCAAGUUGUUGUGAGAAAGGCUAAACAGAUCGUCAACUUUCCCUUGCUUGGCAUGCUCUCAUCAGCAAGGUAUGGCUUAAGGCGCUGGCCAUUCACCGUGAAGUGUUCACCAUUGACAUCCCAAAGCACUACCGCUCCAUACGGUUUCACUUCCUUUAUGCGAAAGGGUAAAAAACAUCUAGAUCUCAACUUUCCUGGAAAUAACUUGAGUCUAGAGUUGAGGAGCAGCACUUGGUCAUUUACCUUGAACUCCCUUGGUAAGAUCUUCUUAUAAUGCCAAGCCUUAGUCCUCUCCUUGUAGAUCUUUGUGUUCUCGUAGGCCUCUUGCCUUAUUUCGUCGAGGUGGUUCAAUUGGACCAACCGCCUUUCCGAAGCGGUUUUUAUGUCAUAGUUCAACAAUUUUGUAGCCCAAAAAGCUUUGUGCUCAAUCUCAACCGGCAAAUGGCAAGACUUCCCAUAGACAAGAUUGAAAGGUGUGGUUCUUAUGGGUGUCUUGUAUGCCGUCCUAUAUGCCCAUAGCGCAUCGUCAAGCUUGGUGGACCAAUCCUUUCUUGUUUUCCCAACCGUCUUCUCGCUUUGAUUUAUCGGUUGGAGAUUUCCACUUGGCCACUUGUUUGAGGAUGGUAAGGAGUGGCAACCUUAUGCUUCACACCAUGUUUUCUUCAAAAGGUUCUCAAAAACUUUGUUGAUGAAGUGAGAUCCCCCAUCACUAAUAACCACUCGUGGUAUACCGAAUCUUGGGAAAAUCACUUUCUUAAACAUUUUUAGCACAACCUUGGCGUCAUUAGUGGGGCUCGCAAGAGCUUCCACCCAUUUUUAAACAUAAUCUACCGCCAUUAGGAUGUAUUGGUUUCCAUGAGAAGAUGGUUUUUUUCAUGAAAUAGAUGCCCCACACAUCAAAUACUUCUACUUCCAAGAUAAAGUGUUGUGGCAUCUCAUUCCUCUUUGUAAAGUUGCCCUUCCUUUGGCAAGCGUCGCAAGAAGAAACAAACCCAUGAGCAUCCUUGAACGUGGUUGGCCAAUAGAAUCCUGCUUGUAAAACAAACCUUGGCCACUGUUUUAAAUGUUGCGAAAUGUCCUGCAUACUCCGAUGCAUGCAUGGCAAUGGUAGAGAAUGCCCUUCACUUCCUCUUUUGAAAUGCAUCUCCUAAAAAGACCAUCGGAGCAUCUCUUAUACAAAAAUGGCUCAUCCAAAAAAUAAUGUUGCACAUCUCGCAAGAAUUUCUUCUUCCUAUAUCCAUGGAACAUUGGAGGCUCUUGAUCACAAGCCAAGUAAUUAAAAAAAUCGGCAUACCAUGGAAGGUCAUCUUCCAUGCUUUCCAAAAUCAUAACCGCGGGAUACUCUUCCUUCAAAUAUUCGAGCACAUAAUAGACUUUCUCUUCGGGGAGGCUAUCAUCUAUCGGUAUGUCCUCCUCGACCCGAAGUCUAGACAAGUGAUUCGCGACUCCAUUCUCAAUUCCUUUCUUGUCCUUUAUAACCAAAUCAAACUCUUGGAGAAGUAGAAUCCAUCUAAGUAGCCUCGGUUUCGCGUCCUUCUUUGCCAAUAAGUAUCUCAAAGCCGCGUGGUCCGUGUGCACUAUUACUUUGGAGCCCACCAAGUAAGACCGACCUAAACUUCUCAAAGGCGAAAACUAUGGCGAGGAGCGUAAGCGCGGUGGUGGCAUAGUUGACUUGCGCGUCGUCCAAGGUUCUACUAGCCUCAUCUUUUCCCCCUCCCCGGAUCCAUCAUCCUCGAGGAGGAGGAAAUCUAAGUCCAAGACUCUUUUAGUAAGACUAUGGAUUGCUAAUCUGCCUACGCGGAAAAGGAAGCCUUCUCCCUCUCAAACUAAAGAGUAAAGAUAGCCCUUCCUUGCCCUAAAAUACAUGUAACAUUGGAUUUGCUAGUAUUCCUACGGGGCUUACCCCCAGAGCCAUCCUAAUCCAUCUUGCUAAUGUUCCUAAUCCAUCUUUGCUAAUGUUCCGGUCUUCAAACAAGAAAGAGCUAGGGGGCUCGUUCGACCUGACGCUGGUUAGACGUGAGGUCGAACAUGUCCCGCUUCGCCCUAUGGCACUAAGUAGAUGGCGCUCAACUUCCUGUCCUUCCUUUGCCCCAAAACGGCUCCAACCGCGUAGUCACUUGCAUCGCACAUGACCUCAAAUGGUAAAUUCCAGUUGGACUAUGGGCGCGGUCACUAGAGCCUCUUUAAGCAUCAAGAAUGCCUCAAGGCAUUUCUCAUCAAACACAAAAGCCACAUCUUUGCAUAAGAGUUGUGUGAGUGGCCUAGCAAUCUUCGAUAAAUCCUUGAGAAAUCUUCUAUAAAACCCUAAUGUCCUAAGAAGCUUCGAAUACCCUUUACCAAGUUUGGUGGUUGCAAACUUGUCAUCACCUCAAUCUUCGCUUGGUCAACGAAUUUUUUACUUGUUUUGAACAGUAUUCUAAAGACACGUCUUACGAAAAGCAGAUUUAAUUUUUUGAGGAAAUUAUUAAGUGGGAUUCUGAAACGUAUAAUUACAGCUUGCACUUUUAACGAGGAACUCUCGCAAUUAGCUCUACUUUCUUUCUUUCUGGUUUUGGUGUUCCGAUAUCUUUCGUAGGAUGAGUUCGAUCCAUUAGGUUCUUCAAUUUGUUCAGAAAAGAAACAAGAAAGAAGAAAACAUCUUUGAUUACGAUUAAAAGGAACAAUCUCAAAUAGACCAAGAUCUAAUUUCGGGUCAUUUCUUGGUGAACAUGAUCUGCCAUAAUCUCUUCGAUUCCUUCAUUUAUGUGCCAGAAUAAAGAUAGAUUUGGUAGGAAAGUGGAAGAGACUUUAUUGUAUAUGAUAAUCAAAGGGAGUGGGAAAGCUGCAGUAAUUCUUUGGAAAAGCCCGGUUCUCUUUGUCUUCGAGCUUUCAUUUUGUAAUCCACUCUUUCGUUCCUUCAUAUACCUCCCCACCAAUAGAUAGAGACAAAUAGGAAUAACCAAACUACGUCUACAAAAUGCCAGUACCAUGCAGCUGCUUCAAAGCCAACGUGAUGCUCCUUCGUCAGAUGACCAAGAUAUUGCCGAAUACCACAUAUAAUCAAGAAAAGAGUACCUAUAAUCACAUGAAAACCAUGAAAGCCUGUUGCUAAGAAAAAGGUAGAACCAUAAAUACUAUCCGAAAUAGUGAAGGGUGCUUGAUAAUAUUCCAUUCCUUGAAAGCCAGUAAAUACUAGAGCCAAUAAAACGGUAGCUACUAAAGCAUAAACUGCUCGUUUUUCUUUCCCCGCGAGUAUAGCAUGAUGAGCCCAAGUUACGGCAGCUCCGGAUGAAGGGAGAAUAGGGGUAUUAAGAAAAGGGAUUUCCCAAGGAUCUAAAACCUCAAUCCCUUUUGGGGGCCAAAUACCUCCGAUCUCUACCGCAGGUGCCAAAGAAGAAUGAGAAGAAGCCCAAAAAAAAGCAAAAAAGAACAUAACCUCCGAUACGAUGAACAGAAUAGAACCAUAUCGAGGUCCUAAUUGUACGACUUUGGUAUGAUGUCCUUCCAACGUGGAUUCACGUAGAACAUCGCGCCACCAUACGAACAUGGUAUAUAGGAUAAAUAUGAGGCCCAAACUUAGAAGUCUUGCACCCCCUUGAAAUGGGUGCAUGUACAUCACACCUCCUACGGUGGUUGCCAAAGCUCCGAGUGAACCCGAAAUAGGCCAUGGACUUGGAUCUACCAAAUGAUAAGAAUGCCUCUGAGAUUCAAUCAUAAACCACUUUGUCUCGGUUAUAUGUAAACCCCCACCCUUCACCCCCACCGGGCUCUUUAUCUUUGGGGUCUAAUUUUCUUUCUAUCUGACAGGACAAACUAAUAGGAAGGGAUGGUUCUUUAAUUGCAUUGAUAGAAGUUCUAACUAGAAAAGGAUCUCUCUAUUACUUUGAGAAGAGAAUCGUUGGUUUGACCGACGGAAAGCAUGGGAGAAAGAAAGAUGCACAAACAGACUUAAAUCUAUGAAAAGAAAGAAGAGAACGAACGAACGGAUUUAGUUCUGGGGAGGUUGGUCCUCGUGUGCAUGGAUGAGCACACGGAGACACCAAUUAAGGAACGCACGGCGUGCGCUUUCCUCCUCUAUCCCUGCUAAUUCCGUAUUAAACCUUCCCCUCCACUCGGCGAUUUGCCGAUCCCGAAUGGAAUCAGCUCUUCGACCGAGAUGGAUUUGUCGUUGGAGGGCUCGUAUUUCCUGAUCCAGGCGCGCGGUUAAUUCCCGACGCCGGCCUGGAUCCCCCUCGUUCUGGAGGGCCCGUUCCGUCCCCUCGACCCGUUCCCAAGACUCCGACAAUAGGCGAUUCCGUGCUCGUAAAGAGUCGGAACUCUCUAUUUCGUUGUACAACGACGAUACGGAGGGAUUGAGAGCAAUCUCGUUACCCUCCGUAUCGGCAGGCAGGUCUACCUGUGGAACGACAAAUAAAGUGGGGGUUUCCAGAAACCCAAGAAGACAUAACGAGAGUCUCAAUAAUAAGAUAACUCGCCCUAACUUCGGGGCUAUGAAAACAAGAAAGUAAUAUACCACACCCAAACAACUUUUAGUGCCAUAUCUUCCAAAACCCAGUUUUGUACCAUCCGGUUUGCAACCCCUACUACAUCUGCCUUUACGAUAUUUACUAUAUUUCGUACGUUUCGGAUAUAGCACGUCUCCCUUUUUUUUGACUAUAUGAAAUCCACACUUUGACACCUGAGAUUCCGUAACGAGUAGAUACUUCCGCAGGAGCAUAAUCGAUUUUAUGGUUAAAUACAUUACGAGAAGUUUUUCUAUGCUUAUAGCA
rnacentral:sRNA from 1 species